UGGGCGAAAGCCUGAUCCAGCCAUGCCGCGUGUGUGAAGAAGGUCUUCGGAUUGUAAAGCACUUUAAGUUGGGAGGAAGGGCAGUUACCUAAUACGUGAUUGUCUUGACGUUACCGACAGAAUAAGCACCGGCUAACUCUGUGCCAGCA
rnacentral:rRNA from 1 species